rnacentral:lncRNA from 1 species
UGGAGGAAGUUAGGUGCUCCUUGUUUCCUGCACGAUGUUGAAGGCAAACACACCAUUUAAAUAUGUAUUGCCUCAUUUUCAUCAUACUUUCUGCUGAUGUCAGCGUGCACUCCUUCCCCUCCCGCCCCCUCCAGCCUGCCUGCUCUGACCGUGCCUUUUGCUGACUCAGUCCCUCCCAGUUCAGCUUCCCCAGGCCAGUUGCUCCCUGGUGAGAUCUUAUGAUAGGGAAGCUGUAUACACAAUUCAUAGCUGAGCCUGCUAAGGAUAAGGCAAACUCAAAACAGUUGCCAGGCUUUCAAAGAAACUGUGGGGCUGAGAUUCCCCUGUGUCUGGAGUAAUAGAAGCACAGUGUCAUUGGCCUGAGGCAUCAAGGUUGGCCAAGAGUAAGAUCAACUCCAGACUCGAGAAAACGCAGUCACUCUUGAUGGGAGACUGUGUUGGGUGCAUAGGUCCUGAGGAAUGUCACUUUGGAGAGAUGGAAGAGUAGGUCCUUCUCUUGUCCAGCGGCUCUUUACUCUAUUGUCCAUCCUGUGGCAGUCUUAGAGUUGAUUUGUCCUGUCACCCCAAAACCACAGACUGUGAGGCAUGGCCGGCCACCACCCCAUGAAGAGAUCAGAAGCAGUCUGACCAGCAUAAAGUUGGUUAAAAGGUGAGAAGUCUUGGCAUCUGGGGUCAGGUGGAAGCAGCUGCUGCAUUUGCCUCACAGGGUGGAACCUGAGAGUGAAGGGAGAGGCUACAUUCGAUUAGGGGAGGGCAAGAGGUAUUAUGUGUAGCCAGGCCAUCCAGGUCUCCUUAGUAAAGAGUCAUAUAGGUGUGUGAGACCAAGAAACUUAAGCAAAAAACGGGAGCCUGUCCAGGCAACAGGUUUGGUACUACAAUGAUGAUGUGGCACACCUGCUGCAUGGCAGGAGAUGAGAGACACAUGUAGCAGCUGACUGGGUGACCUCAGUCUACCUCGGUGUGCAGAAGAGACACCGUGACUGAGAGGCCAUUCCCUGAGCUCUAUAGCUUGGUUCAAAUGUUACUUUACAUCUAUAUGACUUUAGGAAUUCUAGGUAACCUCCUUAAGUCCAAUCUUCCCAUUUAAAAAAAUCCAGAUAUUUCUCAUUACAGUGCAGGGCCAUCAUGUUGCAAAUAAGAAAACACGUGCAAAGGACUUAAAAUAACAUUUGGGCCUUUGUAGGAGCUCUCUGUGUUGACCUAUUUAUUCUUCUACCAAAGUCACUUUUGCUGUCAAUAAACUAGUUAAGAGCUGUAGCUGGAGUCUAGACCAUGUUGCUUACCAGGCAUGUGACUUUGGGUAAAUCCCAUACCAGGGCUUUUGUUCACAUCUAUACAAACAAGGCAUUUCACAAUAUUUAACUGCAAAGGUUGUUGGGAAGUAUCUUAUCUCUAUAUUUACAAUUUGUCAGUGCAUCAUAAUAAUUAAGAAUAUGACAAAUUAUAUUUCCAUGAUGUUAUUUAGCUUUUAGACUUCCUUUACAUGUAGCAACUCAGUUUUUUCCCCCCUGUGGUAUGUUGAAUAGAUUUAUUGCCUAUAAAGGGAAACAUUUAAUUGUGGAAGGCUUACAGUUUCAGAGGUUUAGUCUAUUAUCAUCAUCAUAACAGGAAGCAUGGUAGCAUGCAGGCAGAUGUGGUGCUGGAGCCGAGAGUCCUAUAUCUUGAUCCAAAGGCAGCUGAAUGAGACUAGAUUGCACACUGGGCAGAGCUCAGACAUUUAUGAAACCUCAAAGCCCCAUCCCCACAGUGACAUACCAUGACAGUGGCAAUUUACUGGAGGUGGAGCAACAUACUGCAGGAGGAAAAACUGAGUUUCUACAUGUAAAGGAAGUUCGAAAAUAAAAAGAUAACAUCUUAGCCAGGUGUGGUGGCGCACGCCUUUAAUCCUAGCACUCGGGAGGCAGAAGCAGGUGGAUUUCUGAAUUCGAGGCCAGCUUGAUCUACAAAGUGAGUUCCAGGACAGCCAGGGCUAUACAGAGAAACCCUGUCUCAAAAACAACAACAACAAAAAUCUUGGAAACAUAAUUUGUCAUAUUUGCUAAUUAUUAUGAUGAACUGAUAUCUAUCUAUCUAUCUAUCUAUCUAACCUCUUCUUUGCUGUUCUAGUUUGAUUGUAAUGUGUAUAAUUUUUAUUAUUUAUUUGUGAUACAAAUUUUAUUACAUUUUUGCUAAAACUUCCUGAUAAUAUCAUAAAAUGUCCAUUUUGGAUAGACUGAAAAAUUUUGAAAGGAAAAAAUCCAAAUAAUUCUACAAUUAUAAACCACCAUGGAAAUGUCUAGAUAUCUGGACUAUAUUACUAUAUGUAUAUUUAUAGGGAGUUUAGGCAGACUCUAAAACUUUGCACCUUCCUAUUUUUACUUAAUUUUACACCUUUUCUCAGAUAUUUAAAAACUCCAGUGUAGUGGAAGAGACUUGUGUUUGAUAUUUGUGUUCCUUUUAAACUGUCACUCAUAUGAGGGACAUUUUAGUGAAGAGCAUCUCUUUAAAACUUUCCCUACAUUCUGAAGCACUAAGUGGGCCAUCUUUCUGAUAGCAGGCAUAAAAUAUUUAUUGAAAUAAAUGCCUCCUGUAUCUUUGGAAAAGCAUUAGGCAGUAGCCACAAAGCCAACAGUAAUCAUUGGGGGAAAGGAUGAACUACUUAAAACCAGGUCCUUCCCUGGGACAAUUGCAGAAAGAAAAUGAGUGAGUACCUAUUUCAUAUCAAUAACAUACAUAUUUCAUAUGAAUCAAAGUACUAAUUGUACAAUAAAAAUACAAAAACGGUGAAAUUGAGGAGAAAAUAUAGUUGCAAUAUGG